rnacentral:rRNA from 1 species
CACGUAGGGCGCGAGCGUUGUCCGGAAUUAUUGGGCGUAAAGAGCUCGUAGGCGGCCUGUUGCGUCCGCUGUGAAAGCCCGGGGCUUAACCCCCGGGUCGGCAGUGGAUACGGGCAGGCUAGAGGUAGGUAGGGGAGAAUGGAAUUCCCGGUGUAGCGGUGAAAUGCGCAGAUAUCGGGAGGAACACCGGUGGCGAAGGCGGAGACCUGGGCCAAUACUGACGCUGAGGUGCGAAAGCGUGGGGAGCAAACAGG